UGUGCACUGUGACAGGGUGAAGGACUAUAGAAGGAGUGAAGUGUGGCCUCCCAACAGACGGAGGUGCUAGAGGUUAACUAACAUUAGAUCUAGAGUCGGGGUGCUGCGGCCAUCUUGAUAAGGGCAGCUACACAGGUGCUCCGGAUUCCAACACAUCAACCCCAAGGAUCCUUAAGGACAACCCGGGUAAUCAGGACUGGAGAAACCCAUAGAUGCCAAAGCGAAGCCGUCUGCAUCAGACGAAGACGGACACAGUCUAGGCCAUAACAGAAGAACAGUGCACCCUCUGUCUGUGGAGCUGGAGGGGAGUAGCGUACUGACCCCGAGAUCCGUUGACUGUGAGGCCACAAUAUUUUAAACAC